AUUGAACGCUGGCGGCAGGCCUAACACAUGCAAGUAGAACGAGUGGCGGACGGGUGAGUAAUAUCUGGGAAACUGCCUGGUGGAGGGGGAUAACUACUGGAAAGGGUGGCUAAUACCGCAUACUAUAGGAGGGGACCAUAUGGGAUUAGCUAGUUGGUGGGGUAAAGGCUCACCAAGGCGACGAGCCCUAGCGGGUCUGAGAGGAUGACCAGCCACACUGGGACUGAGACACGGUCCAGACUCCUACGGGAGGCAGCAGUGGGGAAGUUUGCACAAUGGGCGAAAGCCUGAUGCAGCCAGCCCGCGUGUAUGAAGAAGGCCUUCGGGUUGUAAAGUACUUUCGGCGGGGAGGCGUUACCCGCAGAAUAAGCACCGGCUAACUCCGUGCCAGCAGCCGCGGUAAUAC
rnacentral:rRNA from 1 species